UACGUAGGGUGCGAGCGUUAAUCGGAAUUACUGGGCGUAAAGUGUGCGCAGGCCGCCGAGCAUGUCGAGUGUGAAAGCCCCGAGCUUAACUUGGGAACUGCGCUCGAAACUACUUGGCUAGAGUGUGGCAGAGGGAGGUGGAAUUCCACGUGUAGCGGUGGAAUGCGUAGAUAUGUGGAGGAACACCGAUGGCGAAGGCAGCCCCCUGGGCCAGCACUGACGCUCAUGCACGAAAGCGUGGGGAGCAAACAGG
rnacentral:rRNA from 1 species